rnacentral:lncRNA from 1 species
CUUCAUAUUGCAAAGAGAAAGCUAGCCAUCAAUAUAAGUUUCCUUUAUGCUGUAAAAUUGGUAUAGUCAGAGCAUGCACACAGCCCACCUCUGUUCAUGUAUAUGUAUAGUGCCUAUGACAACAGAUCUCUUAAGGGAUGGAAAGGGAAGGGUAAAAGAACCAAAAAAGAGAAGAAAAUAACACCAGCUGCACAACUAUAUUUAUAUGGACAAGAAUCCCACCAAUCUUUCAUCACAAUGCUAAGAAUCCAUCAUUACUUCUUCUCAAGUUGGAGCAUGGAGAUUUGUAAUGCCCAACUUGCCUAGGAGAAAGGUAAACUGAUCCCAACCAAGGGCCUUGGUGAAAGUGUCAGCGAGCUGAUAUAUGGUGUGAGCAAAAUGAGUGCUAAUCUCCUUGGAUUGAAGACACUGUUGUACAAGAAAAGCAGCCAAUCUCUAUGUGCUUUCUGUCCGUUAAAAAAGGUAUUGGCUGCAUUGUGUAACACAACCUGAUUAAAAACAAAAGAGUUGCACUUGUUGAGGAUUAGAAACUCUGAGAUCAUGAAGAGCCUUCACAACCAUAACAACUCACAAAUAGCAGCCGCCAUUGAUCUAUAUUCAGCCUUGACAGAUGAGCUUGAUACCAUGGUCUGUUUUUAGUUUUCCAAGAAAUGGGGGAUGGACCAAGCAAGGUAAAAUAACCAGUAGUUGAGCAGCGAAGUCAUGAGACAAGUAGUGCCAUCAGAGUCACAGUAUGCGAGAAGCAGAGGAAUACAAGAAGGGUAAUUUCUGGUUAUGAUCACAUCAUCAAGAUAGAGCAACAGAGAAGUAAACGGUAAAUAAUGAAUAAUUAGCAGCAAAUUGUUGAAACCCAAUCUGCUUAAGAGUAGUAAACUUAUUGAACCAGUUGCAAGAUGCCUAUUUUAGACAGUACAAAAUUUGUGGUUCUGACCAAUGUCUCCCCUUUCAUAAAAUAUCAAAUGGCA